CCUACGGGUGGCAGCAGUGAGGAAUAUUGGUCCAUGGGCGAGAGCCUGAACCAGCCAAGUCUCGUGAAGGAUGACGGCCCUACGGGUUGUAACCUUCUUUUGUCAAGGAUCAAUUGAGUCCACGUGUGGGCUUAGCGAGAGUACCUGAAGAAAAAGCAUCGGCUAACUCCGUGCCAGCAGCCGCGGUAAUACGGAGGAUGCUAGCGUUAUCCGGAUUUAUUGGGUUUAAAGGGUGCGUAGGAGGAAUAUCAAGUCAGCGGUAAAAAUUCGGGGCUCAACCCCGUCGUGCCGUUGAAACUGAUGUUCUGUAGUGGGCGAGAAGUAUGCGGAAUGCGUGGUGUAGCGGUGAAAUGCAUAGAUAUCACGCAGAACUCCGAUUGCGAAGGCAGCAUACCGGCGCCCAACUGACGCUGAAGCACGAAAGCGUGGGUAUCGAACAGGAUUAGAUACCCUGGUAGUC
rnacentral:rRNA from 1 species